rnacentral:rRNA from 1 species
AAGCUGGAAUCGCUAGUAAUCGCGGAUCAGAAUGCCGCGGUGAAUACGUUCCCGGGUCUUGUACACACCGCCCGUCACACCAUGGGAGUCGGAAAUGCCCGAAGUCUGUGACCCAACCGUAAGGAGGGAGCAGCCGAAGGCAGGUCGGAUGACUGGGGUGAAGUCGUAACAAGGUAGC